AUUGAACGCUGGCGGAAUGCUUUACACAUGCAAGUCGAGCGGCAGCGCGGGGCAACCUGGCGGCGAGCGGCGAACGGGUGAGUAAUACAUCGGAACGUGCCCAGACGUGGGGGGAUAACUACUCGAAAGAGUGGCUAAUACCGCAUACGAUUUAAGGAUGAAAGCGGGGGAUCGCAAGACCUCGCGCGUCUGGAGCGGCUGAUGGCAGAUUAGGUAGUUGGUGGGGUAAAGGCCUACCAAGCCUGCGAUCUGUAGCUGGUCUGAGAGGAUGAUCAGCCACACUGGGACUGAGACACGGCCCAGACUCCUACGGGAGGCAGCAGUGGGGAAUUUUGGACAAUGGGCGAAAGCCUGAUCCAGCCAUUCCGCGUGCAGGAUGAAGGCCCUCGGGUUGUAAACUGCUUUUGUACUAGAACGAAAAAGCUCCGGCUAAUACCUGGAGUCCAUGACGGUACUGUAAGAAUAAGCACCGGCUAACUACGUGCCAGCAGCCG
rnacentral:rRNA from 1 species